AUUGAACGCUGGCGGCAUGCCUUACACAUGCAAGUCGAACGGCAGCACGGGUGCUUGCACCUGGUGGCGAGUGGCGAACGGGUGAGUAAUUCAUCGGAACGUACCUUAUCGUGGGGGAUAACGCAGCGAAAGCUGUGCUAAUACCGCAUACGCCCUGAGGGGGAACGCGGGGGAUCGAAAGACCUCGCGCGAUUAGAGCGGCCGAUGCCUGAUUAGCUUGUUGGGGGGGUAAAAGCCCACCAAGGCGACGAUCAGUAGCUGGUCUGAGAGGACGAUCAGCCACACUGGGACUGAGACACGGCCCAGACUCCUACGGGAGGCAGCAGUGGGGAAUUUUGGACAAUGGGGCAACCCUGAUCCAGCAAUGCCGCGUGAGUGAAGAAGGCCUUCGGGUUGUAAAGCUCUUUUGUCAGGGAAGAAACACCGGCUCUAACACAGUCCGGGGAUGACGGUACCUGAAGAAUAAGCACCGGCUAACUACGUGCCAGCAGCCGCCGUAA
rnacentral:rRNA from 1 species